UCUACACCCAGUGUGGGGUUCAAACUUACAACCCUGAGAUCAAGAGUCAGACUCUCAACUGAUGAAGGCACCCAGGCACACCUUUAUAAUCAGUUUUAAGCCUUAUACCUAUUGCCUCUCAAACCUUCGUAGAAAUAACGUGCCCAGUAGGGUGAUGCUAGCUCAGCACUUUGAGAUGAUCUUCACCAUUUAUCUCAGACGGGAAAUGCCUGACAGUUCUCCCUCCUACUCUUCCCUGUUACUCAAAUGUGACUUCACCGGUUUCCAUUCUACGCACUUUCCCUCUCAUGUGGGACAUGACCACCAGGAAAGAUCUUUUCUGACACCAAGGUCUGAAUACACUAAAUAUGAAAAAAAAAACCCACCACAACACAAUCCUGACUUUUGAUUAGCAGUGCUUUUGAGAAAGACCUUGAUCAAAAGGGGGAGAUGUGAAAAUAAAGGAGACUUUAUUUAAAAUGGAGUCAGGAAGCCCUGAAGGGGGAGCUCUCAUGCAUUACCUCUUGCUGGAAGAAGCAUUAUCCCACAAUUCCCAGCAGGAAGCAGCUUGCUUUUGGUAUCCCAGCCUGAAGAAGGAUGAAUUUCUCCUUGCCCAGUAACAGCCCAGUCAGUGAGAGCUCAAUGAAACAGUCCCUCCAAGCUUCCUCUUUUCCCCUGGGAAAGCAAGCCCCUCUCCUCUGUUUUCUGGGUUGCCACAGUUUGCUUGUUCUGAAUUACAAUUCCUUUGCUCUUCCUCAAUAAACUCAUUUUGCUGGUAAAAUAAUGGCUCUUUUGUUUUUUAAGGUCAAUGGAAGCUGAAACCACCUGAGGUUUCUGGGAACAGACUGACGGGGUCUGAAAAACUGAGUAUUACUCAUCAAAUGGGACCAGUGGCCAGAGGUCUGCGUUUCCGCUUCCCCUCAUUGCUGCUCCAUCCAUCCCGUGCCUGAAAUACAAGUAGGCUAAUUCCAAGGUGUAGCCGGAGUUGAGAACCACACUGCUCUAGUCCCACUGUUCAUGUCUGUCAUCCAG